CCCCCACAGUGCCCUCACGC
rnacentral:miRNA from 1 species